GAUGAACGCUGGCGGCGUGCCUAAUACAUGCAAGUCGAGCGAACAGAUGAGGAGCUUGCUCCUCUGACGUUAGCGGCGGACGGGUGAGUAACACGUGGAUAACCUACCUAUAAGACUGGGAUAACUUCGGGAAACCGGAGCUAAUACCGGAUAAUAUAUUGAACCGCAUGGUUCAAUAGUGAAAGACGGUUUUGCUGUCACUUAUAGAUGGAUCCGCGCCGCAUUAGCUAGUUGGUAAGGUAACGGCUUACCAAGGCAACGAUGCGUAGCCGACCUGAGAGGGUGAUCGGCCACACGGGAACUGAGACACGGUCCAGACUCCUACGGGAGGCAGCAGUAGGGAAUCUUCCGCAAUGGGCGAAAGCAUGACGGAGCAAAGCCGCGUGAGUGAUGAAGGUCUUCGGAUCGUAAAACUCUGUUAUUAGGGAAGAACAAAUGUGUAAGUAACUAUGCAAGUCUUGACGGUACCUAAUCAGAAAGCCACGGCUAACUACGUG
rnacentral:rRNA from 1 species